rnacentral:misc_RNA from 1 species
UUUCCGUAGGUGAACCUGCGGAAGGAUCAUUAUUGUAUAACCGAGGUGCGAGGGCUGUCGCUGACCCGAAAGGUCGUGCACGCCCUAGUGUCCUCACACACAUCCAUCUCACCCCUAUGUGCACCACCGCGUGGGUCCCCCUUUGGCUUGUUCGGAGGGGGGCUUACGUUUUCACACAAACUUUGUAUGCAGUGUAGAAUGUAUUUUUUGUUUUUGCGAUCACGCAAUCAAUACAACUUUCAACAACGGAUCUCUUGGCUCUC